ACAGUGUCUGGUGGGUAGUUUGACUGGGGCGGUCUCCUCCUAAAGAGUAACGGAGGAGCACGAAGGUUGGCUAAUCCUGGUCGGACAUCAGGAGGUUAGUGCAAUGGCAUAAGCCAGCUUGACUGCGAGCGUGACGGCGCGAGCAGGUGCGAAAGCAGGUCAUAGUGAUCCGGUGGUUCUGAAUGGAAGGGCCAUCGCUCAACGGAUAAAAGGUACUCCGGGGAUAACAGGCUGAUACCGCCCAAGAGUUCAUAUCGACGGCGGUGUUUGGCACCUCGAUGUCGGCUCAUCACAUCCUGGGGCUGAAGUAGGUCCCAAGGGUAUGGCUGUUCGCCAUUUAAAGUGGUACGCGAGCUGGGUUUAGAACGUCGUGAGACAGUUCGGUCCCUAUCUGCCGUGGGCGCUGGAGAACUGAGGGGGGCUGCUCCUAGUACGAGAGGA
rnacentral:rRNA from 1 species